AACGGGAAAAGCUGAGGUGACUAAAGGUCAAGCAGCCGUCAAGGUCAAUAAGGUGAAAGGUGGCUGAUAUAGAGAGAAAAGUUAAGUGGAUUUUAGCCUCAAGUACAAGCAGUUGAAGCAUUUUGCAGGUAGGCUUACAUGAUAAUGAUAAGCAAUGCUUUAACUGAGCAUAUCAAAUUGAUGAAUCAAUACAAUUAUUUCAAUACUUACCAGUAUUUAUUUGUGUUCAUGUUACUCUUGAUAUAAAAGUAAACUCAGGUGUAUGUGUGAGGCAUUGUGGCCUCAUGGUUAGUGUCCUCAACUCUGGAUCAAGUGGUCUGGGAUAGAGCCUUGGAAGGGAACAUUGUGUUGCAUUCUUAGGCAAGACACUUUACUUUCACAGUGCCUCUCUCCACCCAGAUGUUUAAAUGGGUACUGGCAAAUUUAGUGCUGGGGUAACCCUGCAAUAGACUAACAUCCAGGGGUAAGCAGAAACACUCCUAGCCAC
rnacentral:misc_RNA from 1 species